rnacentral:rRNA from 1 species
GACGAACGCUGGCGGCGUGCUAAACACAUGCAAGUCGAACGGAAAGGCCCUGCUUUUGUGGGGUGCUCGAGUGGCGAACGGGUGAGUAACACGUGAGUAACCUGCCCUUGACUUUGGGAUAACUUCAGGAAACUGGGGCUAAUACCGGAUAGGAGCUCCUGCUGCAUGGUGGGGGUUGGAAAGUUUCGGCGGUUGGAGAUGGACUCGCGGCUUAUCAGCUUGUUGGUGGGGUAGUGGCUUACCAAGGCUUUGACGGGUAGCCGGCCUGAGAGGGUGACCGGCCACAUUGGGACUGAGAUACGGCCCAGACUCCUACGGGAGGCAGCAGUGGGGAGUAUUGCACAAUGGGCGGAAGCCUGAUGCAGCAACGCCGCGUGCGGGAUGACGGCCUUCGGGUUGUAAACCGCUUUCGCCUGUGACGAAGCGUGAGUGACGGUAAUGGGUAAAGAAGCACCGGCUAACUACGUG